UACGUAGGGUGCGAGCGUUGUCCGGAAUUAUUGGGCGUAAAGAGCUUGUAGGUGGUUUGUCGCGUCUGCUGUGAAAAUCCGAGGCUCAACCUCGGACUUGCAGUGGGUACGGGCAGACUAGAGUGUGGUAGGGGAGACUGGAAUUCCUGGGUGUAGCGGUGAAAUGCGCAGAUAUCAGGAGGAACACCAGUGGCGAAGGCGGUGCUCUGGGCCGUAACUGACGCUGAGGAGCGAAAGCGUGGGGAGCAAACAGG
rnacentral:rRNA from 1 species